rfam:Brachypodium distachyon strain Bd21 chromosome 1, whole genome shotgun sequence.
GACAUACUCCCUCCGUUUCAUAAUUCUUGUCGAAAUAUUACAUGUAUCUAGACACUUUUUAGGAAUAGAUACAUAAAUUUUCGGGAAAAUUUGAGACAAGAAUUAUGAAACGGAGGGAGUAAUAU